AGGCAGCAGUGGGGGAAUAUUGGACAAUGGCCGCAAGCCUGAUCCAGCCAUGCCGCGUGUGUGAAGAAGGCCUUUUGGUUGUAAACACUUUAAGCGAGGAGGAGGGUAACCUAGCUAAUAUCUAGGAUUAUCGGACGUUACUCGCAGAAUAAGCACCGGCUAACUCUGUGCCAGCAGCCGCGGUAAUACAGAGGGUGCGAGCGUUAAUCGGAAUUACUGGGCGUAAAGCGCGCGUAGGCGGUUUGUUAAGUCGGAUGUGAAAUCCCCGGGCUCAACCUGGGAACUGCAUUCGAUACUGGCAAGCUAGAGUAUGGGAGAGGAUGGUAGAAUUCCAGGUGUAGCGGUGAAAUGCGUAGAGAUCUGGAGGAAUACCGAUGGCGAAGGCAGCCAUCUGGCCUAAUACUGACGCUGAGGUGCGAAAGCAUGGGGAGCAAACAGGAUUAGAUACCCUGGUAGUCCAUGCCGUAAACGAUGUCAACUAGCCGUUGGGGACCUUGAGUCUUUAGUGGCGCAGCUAACGCGAUAAGUUGACCGCCUGGGGAGUACGGCCGCAAGGUUAAAACUCAAAUGAAUUGACGGGGGC
rnacentral:rRNA from 1 species